AUUGAACGCUGGCGGCAGGCUUAACACAUGCAAGUCGAGCGAGCGGCGGACGGGUGAGUAAUGUCUGGGAACUGCCUGAUGGAGGGGGAUAACUACUGGAAACGGUAGCUAAUACCGCAUACUAUCGGAUAACCCAUAUGGGAUUAGCUAGUAGGUGAGGUAAUGGCUCACCUAGGCGACGAUCCCUAGCUGGUCUGAGAGGUUGAUCAGCCACACGGGGAUGGAGACAGGGCCCGAACUCUGAGGGGGGCAGAGGGGGGGAAUAUUGCACAUUGGGCGCAAGCCGGAUGCAGCCAGGCCGGGUGUAUGAAGAAGGCCCUAGGGUUGUAAAGUACUUUCAGUCGGGAGGCGUUACCGACAGAAGAAGCACCGGCUAACUCCGUGCCAGCAGCGGCGGUAAUA
rnacentral:rRNA from 1 species